GAGUUGGUAUCUCAGUGGUAGAGUACAUGCUCUGUAUGUAUGAUGUCCUGGGUUCGUUCAAUCCCCAUCUCAGUGG